rnacentral:rRNA from 1 species
UACAGAGGGGGCAAGCGUUGUUCGGAAUUACUGGGCGUAAAGGGCGCGUAGGCGGCCUUCUAAGUCGAACGUGAAAUCCCUGGGCUCAACCCAGGAACUGCGUCCGAUACUGAAAGGCUUGAAUCCGGGAGAGGGAUGCAGAAUUCCAGGUGUAGCGGUGAAAUGCGUAGAUAUCUGGAGGAAUACCGGUGGCGAAGGCGGCAUCCUGGACCGGCAUUGACGCUGAGGAGCGAAAGCCAGGGGAGCAAAGCGGG